rnacentral:snRNA from 1 species
AGAUAUUUUUAAUUUUACUGAA